UCAGGCGGGAUUACCCGCUGAAUUUAAGCAUAUCAAUAA
rnacentral:rRNA from 1 species